AAUAAGUUUGAUUCUUUCUUUUUAAUUAAUUUUAUUAAUUUAUUACAUGAUUGUUUUUUAAUUAAUUUUUUUUUUCAGUAAUUAGGUUUAUUAAUAUAUUUAUAUAUAUAUAGAAAUUAAUUUAAGUUUGAUAAAUUUUGUGCCAGCAAUCGCGGUUAUACAAAUAUAACUAAGUUAAUUUUUUAGGUUUCAAUUAAGUUUUAAUUGAUUAUUAAAAUUUAUAAUUAAGGUGAAAUUUAUUUUCAAUUUUAUUUCUUUAUACUGAUUUAAUAAAUUUUUAUUAAAAACUAGGAUUAGAUACCCUAUUAUUAAUUAAUUGUUUUUAAUUUUCUGAAUAUUAAUAAUUAAUUAUUAUAAAACUCAAAGAAUUUGGCGGUGAAUUAAAUCUUCUUAGAGGAAUUUGUGUUUUAAUUGAUAUACCACGAUAUUUUUUACCUUAAUUCUAUUUGUAUACCGCUAUAAAAGGAGUUUUUUAAAAGAAAUAUUCUUUCAUUUUUUUUGAAAAAAUUUUAGGUCAAGGUGCAGUUUUAUUUAGGAAAAUGUGAAUUACUUUAAUUUUAAAAUAAUUUUUGAAUUUGUUUUUAAAUUAAAUAAUCAAAUAGGAUUUAAUAGUAAUUUUAAUUACUUAAUUAUUUUGAAUUAAGUUCUAAUUUAUGUACAUAUCGCCCGUCGCUCUCAAUAGAAUGGGAUAAGUCGUAACAAAGUAAUUGUACUGGAAAGUGUAAUUAGGAUUAUUA
rnacentral:ncRNA from 1 species